rnacentral:rRNA from 1 species
UACUACAAGCGCCAGCUUAAAACCCAAAGGACUUGGCGGUAUCCCAUACCCACCUAGAGGAGCCUGUUCUAUAACCGAUAAUCCUCGUUUAACCUCACCAUUUCUUGCCACUACCGUCUAUAUACCGCCGUCGUCAGCUCACCCUGUGAAGGACUAAAAGUAAGCAAAAAGAAUAAAACUUCAAAACGUCAGGUCGAGGUGUAGCAAACGAAAUGGGAAGAAAUGGGCUACAUUUUUUUCCAAAAAUACACGAAUGAUAAACUGAAAAAUUACCUAAAGGUGGAUUUAGCAGUAAGAGAAGACCAGAAUACUUCUCUGAAAUUGGCUCUGGGAUAAGCACACACCGCCCGUCACUCUCUUCAAAAACUAUAUCCUAUUUCUAUAAAUAAACCUAUUCAACAAGAAGAGGCAAGUCGUAACAUGGUAAGUGUACUGGAAAGUGCACUUGGAAUCAAAA